rnacentral:rRNA from 1 species
UACAGAGGGGGCAAGCGUUAUUCGGAAUUAUUGGGCGUAAAGGGCGCGUAGGCGGCUUCGCAAGUGGAAGGUGAAAUCCCUCGGCUUAACCGAGGAACUGCUUGGUAUACUGGUUAUCUUGAGCCACUUAGGGGCUACCGGAACAAAUGGUGGAGCGGUGAAAUGCGCAGAUAUCAUUUGGAACGCCAAUGGUGAAAACAGGUAGCUGGGAGUGUGCUGACGCUGAGACACGAAAGCCAGGGUAGCGAACGGG